ACUCCUACGGAAGGCAGCAGUGGGGAAUCUUGCGCAAUGGGCGAAAGCCUGACGCAGCGACGCCGCGUGGGUGACGAAGGCCUUCGGGUUGUAAAGCCCUGUGGGGUAGAACGAACUGGCAUCGGGCUAAUAUCCCGGUGUCUUGACGGUACUGCCUUAGCAAGCAUCGGCUAACUCUGUGCCAGCAGCCGCGGUAAU
rnacentral:rRNA from 1 species